GAUGAACGCUGGCGGCGUGCUUAACACAUGCAAGUCGAACGAAGCAUUCUAACGGAACAUUUUCGGAUGGGAAGUUAAAAUGACUGAGUGGCGGACGGGUGAGUAACGCGUGGAUAACCUACCAUAUACAGGGGGACAACAGUUGGAAACGACUGCUAAUACCGCAUAAGCGCACAGUGCCGCAUGGCACGGUGUGAAAAACUCCGGUGGUAUAUGAUGGAUCCGCGUCUGAUUAGCUAGUUGGUGAGGUAAUGGCCCACCAAGGCAACGAUCAGUAGCCGACCGGAGAGGGUGACCGGCCACAUUGGGACUGAGACACGGCCCAAACUCCUACGGGAGGCAGCAGUGGGGAAUAUUGCACAAUGGGCGAAAGCCUGAUGCAGCGACGCCGCGUGAGCGAAGAAGUAUUUCGGUAUGUAAAGCUCUAUCAGCAGGGAAGAAAAUGACGGUACCUGACUAAGAAGCCCCGGCUAACUACGUGCCAGCCGCCGCCGUAA
rnacentral:rRNA from 1 species